CCUACGGGAGGCAGCAGUGGGGAAUCUUAGACAAUGGGCGCAAGCCUGAUCUAGCCAUGCCGCGUGAGUGAUGAAGGCCUUAGGGUCGUAAAGCUCUUUCGCCUGUGAUGAUAAUGACAGUAGCAGGUAAAGAAACCCCGGCUAACUCCGUGCCAGCAGCCGCGGUAAUACGGAGGGGGUUAGCGUUGUUCGGAAUUACUGGGCGUAAAGCGCACGUAGGCGGAUUAGAAAGUUAGGGGUGAAAUCCCGGGGCUCAACCUCGGAACUGCCUCUAAAACUCCUAGUCUAGAGUUCGAGAGAGGUGAGUGGAAUUCCAAGUGUAGAGGUGAAAUUCGUAGAUAUUUGGAGGAACACCAGUGGCGAAGGCGGCUCACUGGCUCGAUACUGACGCUGAGGUGCGAAAGUGUGGGGAGCAAACAGGAUUAGAUACCCUGGUAGUCCACACCGUAAACGAUGAAUGCCAGUCGUCGGCAAGUAUACUUGUCGGUGACACACCUAACGGAUUAAGCAUUCCGCCUGGGGAGUACGGUCGCAAGAUUAAAACUCAAAGGAAUUGACGGA
rnacentral:rRNA from 1 species